UCUCUCUAAUUCUCUCAAUCUCUCUAAAUCAAGAAUUCUAAAAGGACACUAAGUGUUCCAACUAUUAUUCUCUCAAGCUCUCUACUUCUCUCAAAAAUUCCAAGCAAGGAAGAGAACUCUAAGAGUUCUAAAAGAAAACACUAAGUGUUUUAAAGGAAGUUUUGAAGCUCCAACCUCCAACUCUUCAUAGAAUCACCAAAGGAAACUUUGCAAAACUGUUUAAUGAUGAUGUUGAUGAUGUUGAUGAUGCUUGGAACAUAGUAGGAUGCCUAGAUACUCAUUUUGAAUUUUGUAUACCUAUUAUAAUGUAAUCCUUUUAUUUCAAGUUGUUGUAAUUGUAUUUCCUUUCCAUGUUGUAUUUGAAUUCUUAUAGUAAUAAAAUGAAAUUCAUUAUUUAAA